CCGGCUCUGUGUCUGUCGGGCGGGCGGGCGGCAUGGGGCUGUGAGGCGGGCGGGCAUCGCCCAGGCCCCUCGCCCGCCAUGCCAGGCAAAGCCCAGCACUUCCAGGGGCCUCAGGUCAGCUGCUGCUCCAAGUACCUGCUCUUCGCCUCCAACGUGCUCUUCUGGUUGCUGGGAGCUGCGUUCCUGGCCAUUGGUCUUUGGGCCUGGGCAGAAAAGGGGGUGCUCUCCAAUCUGUCCUCCAUCACAGACCUGGGAGGCUUUGAUCCUGUCUGGCUCUUCCUCGUGGUCGGAGUGGUGAUGUUUGUCCUGGGAUUUGCUGGCUGCAUUGGAGCCUUGAGAGAGAAUACAUUCCUGCUCAAAUUUUUCUCUGUGUUUCUGGGGCUCAUCUUUUUCCUGGAGCUGACGGCAGGUAUUCUGGCCUUCAUCUUUAAGGACUGGAUCAAGGACCAGCUCAAUUUCUUCAUCAACAAUAAUGUCAAGGCCUACCGUGAUGACAUCGACCUCCAGAACCUCAUAGACUUUGCUCAGGAAUAUUGGUCUUGCUGUGGAGCGCACGGGCCUAAUGACUGGAAUCUCAACAUUUACUUCAACUGCACUGACUCCAACCCCAGCAGAGAACGCUGUGGGGUGCCCUUUUCCUGCUGUGUCAAGGAUCCUGCGGAAGAUGUUCUCAACACACAGUGUGGCUACGAUGUUCGCCUUAAACUGGUGAGAGUCAGGUUGGUGUGGUGGCUGGAGCCAGGAGCUGGAGCAGCAGAGCUUUAUCCAUACCAAAGGAUGUGCUGGUCAAUUUGAGAAAUGGGUCCAGGACAAUCUCAUUGUGGUGGCCGGGACCUUUGUGGGUGUUGCAUUGCUCCAGAUCUUUGGGAUCUGCCUGGCGCAAAAUCUAGUGAGUGACAUUAAUGCUGUGAAAGCUAAUUGGUGACACCAAAACAGAGACUCUUCCACAGGCUCACAGCACACUCCAGAGGACUAAAGCCUUCGUCUGCCCAUGACCAUAAGGUGCUGCUGUGCCAUCAACCAGCUGUGUGUGUGUACAGCCAUUACUACCAGUAGUAAUGGCUGCCCUGUGUCCUUCCAUAGCUUUCCCUUCCUAGUUUGGGCAGGGAAUGGAGUUGUGGGCAGCUAUGUAAAUAAGUAUUUAUACAGGACUUUUGGGGGACUCCUUCCAUCCCACUGCAAAGCCUAUGGAGCCAGAGGACUGUUACAUCUGCAGGUCAGAGAUACAAGGGUCAAAUGAUAUAAACAGCUCUGGAUCUGGGUGGGUUGCUACAGGAUGAGGCAUGGGCCAUAUGGCUGAACACUAAGAAGCACAUGGAAACUAGAGUCCUGCUUCUGCUGCCUGGAGCAGCCCCUACACUUUUGUCCUCCCUGCAAGCAUUUACUUGAAUUUUCUGUGCAUUUCUCCCCAUCUGCUCAGGUCUGCUUUCUAACAGUGGAUUGGAUUAAGGAGGUUAUAAGGUUGGGUUCCCUAGUCCCAUGUUUAGAAAUUCAUUUUGGCAGCUUAUGUGUAUCAUAUUCAGAUGGUCUCUUGCCUCAUUCUUGUGGGGUCAGGGGUACAAGCCGAAGGAUUACUAAUGGGACAAGAUGCUGCUGUAGAACAUUUUCCACAACAGUCCUCUCUGCUUUUUUGGGUCUACAGCUAUGCACACACAAAAUGGAAAAUAGUGUGUCCAGACAGGUCCUAACAUGGGUCCAACUACUCAGGCCCAAUAAGAGAGAGCUACUAGAAAUAGGUUGACUUGCUUUUUAAAGGAAAAUAUUAACCUUGCUCCGAACAUAUAGGACUUUGUAUAUUAGAAGGGACAAACAACUUAAUUACACGUUUCUCUAACUCUGGGCUUCAGAAAUGGACUGUGGACAGCCAUUUUUUUGACGUGGCAAAUAUGCAACCCUUGUAUGCAAUACCUUUUUAUGUCUUCACCUGAAACAUUAGCCCAUAGAAACUAUUUUAGUCCUUCCGUCUGAGCUGAACCCAGUUUGAGCCUUGGCCAGACUUGGCCCUGCCUUUUUUCCAUGAGUUUCCUCUUGGUUUUGCAGGGCACCCGUGCUUCAUGGGUUGGCUGAUGACACUGUUGAGAGGACUUUGGCACAUAGCAGGGAAGGGCCGUGGUUUAAAUGUGUGUCUUCGUUGACUCUACUAUUUCCUUGCACUCUUUCUUGGAUGGGAUUCUUUUGCCAAUCCCCUGGACUCUGCUGCUAAGGGGAACUGAUUGGAUCAUUUGGGAUUCUGUUGAUCUGGUGCAUCCAAUAAAACAACCCCCUACCAAA